rnacentral:lncRNA from 1 species
UGUAUAAUAGGUCCGCUUGAUGCAGAGCUGAGUUCAAUUCCUGGAUAUCCUUGUUAACUUUCUGUCUCAUUGAUCUGUCUAAUGUUGACAGUGGGGUGUUAAAGUCUCCCAUUAUUAUUGUAUGGGAGUCUAAGACUCUUUGUAGGUCACUCAGGACUUGCUUUAUGAAUCUGGGUGCUCCUGUAUUGGGUGCAUAUAUAUUUAGGAUAGUUAGGUUGGCUUCAACCCUAGGAUGCACGCCUGUUCAACAUACACAAAUAAAUAAACAUAAUCCAUCACAUAAACAGAACCAAAGACAAAAACCACAUGAUUAUCUCAAUAGAUGCAGAAAAGGCCAAUAUAAUACAGUAAAUAUUACUUUAAAAAGUAAUUGUUGCUUAUGGAUGAAUAUCUCUAAAGCACUUCAAGUUCUUAUUUCAGAACCUAUCCCACUUGUCAGCUCUGUUCCAGUCUGGCUCCUUGCUUUAAGGUCUCCUUCCCCUAACCUUUCCUUUUCUCUCCCUUUCUCUCUCUCUUCCUUCCUGUUUGAAUCUUACAGGGGUACCAAAAAAGCCUAUGAACUUAAAAGGGA